GUUUUAAAAAAAAAUGUUAUUUAAAAUCGCACAAUAUUUUGAAGUCAAAUUGAAACAAUUUGUUCAGCGACAUCUAGUUUCUAUCUCUUCCCCCUUCAACUGUUUCCUCCCACCCCUGGUAGGUAGUCAUUCUUGUUUUUGCUUCAUCUUCCCAUUAAAAAACAUCUGUUCAUAUUCAAGCUCUUUCUUAGGUAAAUGGCAGCAAAAUAGACACAUUUUUUUUUUCUCCACCUUGCUGUUUUCUUUAAUAAUACAUCGUGGCGAUCACUGCAUAGCCGAGUGUAAGACUGCACCUUGCUUGGACAGCUGUCUCACGGAUGGGAUACAAGGUACAGUAUUAAUUUCACCAAGCUCCUUCUAAUGCCCCGGUAGUGGCGAUCCCCAGUCUUGUGCCAUUGUGACUGAUGGUGCAGUGAAUAGCCUCGUGCACCCUUCCUUUGUCUUUCUGCCAGUGUAUGUUGGGGAUAGAUGUUUAGGAGUGGGAUUUUGAGUCAGUGGAUAAAUGCAUACGGACUUCUGCCAGAUACUGCCAAAUUCCCCUCUGUAGGAGCUGGGCCCUUUUGCAUGCUCACCAGUAACGUCCGAGAGGCCUGUUUCCCCACAACCUACAACAAGAGGUUGUCCAAACUUCGGGAAGGGUUUGCCAACCGCGGAUAGGAGCGGAAGCCCCUGAGCUGGACUUUGCUCCCACCCGACAAUAUGCUCUGUCCAUAGCAGCCAAGGAGCUCUCUUUAUAAUGUUCCUGAUAUCAUGUCACUUCCUUGCCUUAAACCCUGAGGGCUUCCAGUUUCAGCAUCCAACCCUCUCACCCUGGCUGUAGAGUCCUACAUGAUCUAGCAUCUGUCUCUACUUGUGACCUCUUCUUGUUACUCCUUCCCCCUGGUCCUGUUCGUCCUGGCCAUUUCUCUGCUCUUCCCUCUGCAAGCACUGAGGCCAUUCCUUUCGUAGGGCCUUGGCAUGCACUUUGCUCUGCUUGGGACUCCCUCCCCACUUGACACAGCUGCAGCUUCUCCAUGUUCAUAAACCAGCACCUGUGCUCGAAGAAGCCUUGCCUGCCUGACCAUUGUGGGUAUUACUCUAAUCAUUUGUCACCGCCUCAUCCUAUUUGUUUUUCGUACUGAGUUGUUGGGGGGAUGGAUGGAUUGAUUAUAAGCUCCUUGAGAGAAGAGCCUUCCUCUGACUUUUCAUCCCGGGAUCCCUGGUGCCUCGUACAUAACAGGUGCUCGAUACAUGUUAGUUCAGUGGAUGAAUGAAAGAACAGCAGGUAUCUCGCCUGGGAGAGGAUCCUCAUGCUCAUUCCCAGUGUCCCCCUGGAGAGGGCGCUGUCGAGGAAGGCUCCCCGUUUGGAUUAAUCUCUGCAGCCGUCAUCCCUCUCUGCCUGGAAUUUAACAGGGGCUCACCGAGGGCAAAUCCAAAAUUUGUGCAGCCUCAAGCUUCCACAGUUUGAAGGAUGACAUCUCUAAGUAAAAGAAUAGAGAGUUACAAAUAUCAAAUUAGCUAGAAGGCUUUGGAAAAGACCCAUCUGAGAGAGAGCCCCUGAAGCUUAAGGCAGGUUACUUUCAGGGAAACCCAUCUCUAGUGCUCAUUAAAUGCCUGUUGAAUGAGUAAAUGAGUCAAGGGUAGAUUUUUAAAUGCCUGAUUUUUACUGAUUUCAUUUUCAGGGGGUAGAAGCACAAAGAAAACUGUAGCAGCAGGACAAAAUGACCUGCUUUACUUGAUUCUUGCACAUAAUUAGGAUAUUUUUUAUCUUUCCAGUUUAAGGCUGCUUUCGACCUCAGGUUCGUACCCAACAGGGAAGAAAAUAAUCAGGCAUUGUGGCAUUUUGCUGAGGCCACUCUGUUAGGCAGCUGUUAGUCUGGCCUUUCUGCCUGCCAUUCUCCUUCCUUUUGUUAACAGCAAAUCCAUUUCCUUUUGGAGAAUCAUCCUGUGCCUCUUAAUCCUUGUGGCUCAGGUGGGGCAGAUCCGGGUUCCAGAUAAAGAGGUGCACCUCCAAAUGUAAAGCAACCCAUUAAUUAUUAAUCACCACAAGCCUUUGAAGGAAGUACAAUUAUUAUCACCAUUUUAUAGGUGGAAAAAUGGAGGCACAGAGGGGUUAAGACUGUUGUUGUCCAAGGGACCCAGCGGGUCAGUGAUGGAGCAGGGAUUUGAACCCAGGCAGUGUGGCUCUUGAACACCACUUGGGUUACAUCUCAAUUCGUCCAGGCAAGAGAGGAGAGAGUCGAGCCAUUGCCUGGGGUCUCGAUCCCAAGCCUUCAAACUACAGCAGAGGAUUUCUCUUUUCACAGGAACUGCUAGGUUCACGUGGAAGCCGGAAGCAUCCAGGGCCAUGGUGGAGAGCCUGAGGGGGUUGUGCUCAGAUGGGAGGGGGACGGGCACCCUCUGGGGGAGACGUCUUCUGCUUCCGCGGCUGCCCAUUCUCAGCCUACGCGUGAAGAUCUACCGCUGGGCUUCCCACACGCGCGGACCAAGACGUUCAUUCCCUUUAUUGCUGAAGGGAGUCUGAGUUGGGUUUUCCAUUUUGUGCCACUAGAAACAGUGCAUCUUGGUUUCUGACCUCAGUGACUUUCCACAGAAGGACUUGAGGAGGCGUUCCCUUUGGGAUCCUGGAAGGGAAUGAUGCCCCCCCCGACUCCCGGGGAACCAUCUUCUUGCCAACAGCAUGGUGUUUGGGGAGUAUGGCCGGUGGAGGCAAAUGGCGCAGGAAUUGGUUCAUAUGAUGGCAGAGGCUGACAAAUCCCAAAUCCGAAGGGCAGGCCAGCAGGCUGGAAGCUCCGGCAGAGUUUUUAUGUUGCAGGUUCGAGGCAGAAUUUCUUCUCUGGGAAGCCUCAGCUUUUGCACCCAGGGCCUUCAACUGAUUAGAUGAGGCCCACCCGCAGGCUGGAGGGUAAUCUUUACCUAACGUCAACGUUAAUCACACCUACACGCUAUCUUCACAGCAACAUCUAGAAUAGCGUUUGACCCAAAGAACCAGGCACCACAGCUUAGUCGAGUCAACACACAAAAUUAACCAUCAUAUUUGCUAGUGCAGUUUCUGUGGACCUCCGUUUCCCCAUCUGUUAACUGGAGAACAGACCCUUCUUGAUCUUCAAGCUGGUCCUCUGUGAAACGGGACUGAUGGACUGGGAGAGCCUGGAGGGAGUGGCUGGAUUUCCCAAGGGUGUCUGCAUCCCCUAAGUGGGGCCUCAACUUGCUCUGACCUGGGAAAGAGAUGAGGAAACAGAGGCACAGAAAGUUUCUGACAAUCACCUAGCUUGCACAAAUAAGACGUGAUGAAGCAGAGACUCUCACUCAGGCAGCCUUGCUCCGGGACUGGUGCUCUGAACCCCGGGAGAAGGGCAUGGCCCACUGUGUAGAUUCAGCAGGUGAAAUGUGCUCUGCAGCUCUGCUUCCUUUUUUUUUUUUUUUUUUUUUCACGCUUGGGGAAUGUUCUGGAGUGUGGCUGUACCGUAGCUGAUACAUCUUGUUUCCCACUGAUGGACAUGCAGCAGAGUGUGUUUCCCAGCUGGGAGCAUAAGAGGAAGCAGGAAGGUGUGAAGCAUGAAGAGGUUGGGGUAUGCCGUGCUGGUGUGAAGAUGGAGGGUCCACGUCAAGACGAAAACAAGUGGCCUCUCGAAGCUGAGAGCACCCCGCAGCGGACAGCCAGCAAGGAAUUGGGGACCGCGUUCUGCCGGUAACAGGAAUGAGUGUGGAUCUGAGGAUCCUGAGCUCCGGAAAAGAACACAGCAGCCCAGAGACCCCCCGAUUUCAGUCUCAGCAGGGUCUCCAGCUGCACCAGGCUGAAGCUCUGACCUAGGGAGCUGGGAGCUGAUAGGCAUGGGGUCAGCGUUGAGGGUCAGGGACCAGGAAGAAUAUUAAAAGUCACAUGGAAGACUAAUGCACUAACGUGGAAAUAAACUCAGACAGGAAACCCCUCAAUCUCUAUCCGGGAGGUCACCCAACAGUCAACGGCUGCCCGGUGGCUUCCUGUGGAGCUCUCAGUGCCCAGUUUCAACGUCGGCAGUAAUGAUGUUUUGGACUCUGUUGCGGGGCCGUCCUGCGCUCUGCGGGUGCUUAGCAACCCCCCUAGCCUCUGCCCACCAGAUGCCAGGAGCAACCCCCCCACGCCAGACGGGGUAACCAGAAGCGUCUCUAGACAUCCUAAAGGAACCCCUAAAAUUCCCCGGAAGAUGCUAUGAGCCCAGCUGAGAACCACUGGGUCAUGACUCCAAUAAUCAGCUGUGCUCCCAGAUCUCAGCUGGGCGACAGCCACCUGUAAAUAAGGUAAAAGCUGGGAACGGUGAGCCUGUCCUUCCACCUAUAUAGUAAACCAAUAAUUUAGAAUUUUUGAGGCUUGGCCUAGGGGUUGCAGAGAUUCUUCCCGUGCCCUAUCCAAGAUCUUAGGUAUGAACUUGGACCUUUGGGGACAAGGACAAAGGCUAUGAGCUGUGGACUGAGGUAAUGUCUCCUUUGUGUUCUCAGGGGAGUAGGGACUGGGUGGUGUUGGGAAGGGGAGAUGGAGGAUGUUUCUGGGAUUUGGGAGACUGCCUUCUGGUUUGGGGUCAGGCUGACACCCCAGGCACAGGCUUGUCGUCUGGCCAACAAAACCUCUGUCUUCCCUUCUCUUCCUUACUGAAUAAUUCAGCCCUGUGGGCCCGCCUUGGGUCAGACCCUCCUAAGACCUCUCUGACACACUUGUCCUCUCACGCCAGCUUAUGGUCCUUUCUGUGGUUUUCCCCGAUCCCAUGCGCUUACCCCAUCACAACCCUUAACGACCACAUGGCCACGGCCUCUGCUAUCUUGUAUUCCCAGGGCCUAGCAAGAGGACCUGAUACAGAGGCCUCUUUACUCCCUGUGGUUUGCUGAUGGACUGACAGGGGCUAAGCCCCCAGCCAGGCAUGGUGGCGAUCAGACAAGACUAUAUCUACUGGGGGAGGUGGGCACACAGAUCAUUUCCAGCCAUGAAAAGGGCCAUGAGGGGUGUCGAGAAUGGGGACAUCUAGUCUGCUGGUCAGGGUUGUGCUGUGUUUCCUGUAGGGUGACCAGUCAUCCUGGUUCACCCAGGACCGAGGGGUUUCUUGGGACACGGAACAUCAAAGUUAAAACGGGCAAAGUCCUAGACAAAUCAGGAUGAGAGGCUUAUUCUAGUGCCUGCACCUGCCUGGAAGAUUUACUCGCUAGCACGCAGUUUUAAAUCCUGGAACAACGCGACAAGUCAGUGCCAGAGUCAAACCCCAUUUGACAGGUGAGAACCAGGCCCCAAAGGUGAGUAGGGGCAGGGUGGGAACUGGAACCCCAGAAACUGGGGGCCGGGCUGAUUUGCUGUAUGGAUUCCCAGGGACUAAACAAAGGCAGUGCUCAUUUUAGGGGUUCCUUUCCAUGCGGGGGUCCUGAGUGUAUCUCCAUCCAUCUCCUGGAAUCUCUAGAAGAAUCUGAGGGUCUGGGUGGCCCCCAGGCCAGGGAAUGGAACCACUGGCUCAAAGGAUGUCAGAUUUAUCUUUGGAUGCCCUCUCAGCCUUGAGUAGCAGAAUGCAUCAAUACCAUACCUGCUUUACCACAGAGGAAACAGACCCGGAGAGGUUCAUCUGCUUACUCAGGGUCACACAGUGAGUUGGCAGCAGAGUGUGGAUGAACUCAGGACUCUCAACUCCUGAAUCCAUUGCUUUGUUUGGGUUCUGGGUUAACGUGCAGACUCUAGAAUUCAAAUCAUGGCUCUCUGCUAGUUACCAGCUCUGUGACCUUGGUUAAGUCAUUGAACUUUUCCAAGCCUUGAUUUCCUCAGCUGUAAAAUGGGUGUAAUUUGUACAUAUCCUCUUAGGGUUUGAGGCAUCAGUGAGAUGGUCCAUGUAAAGAGAGCUCUUAAUAGCACAGGGUAAAGCUCCCAAGGACACAGUAGCUGCCACCUCUAACCCCCCCCCCCGAAAUACAUUUUCCU